rnacentral:rRNA from 1 species
GUCGAGAAUCUUUCACAAUGGGGGCAACCCUGAUGGAGCGACGCCGCGUGGAGGAUAAGGUCUUCGGAUUGUAAACUCCUGUCAUGCGUGAACAAGGUUGCUUGGAUAAUACCUGAGCAAAUUGAUGGUAGCGCAAGAGGAAGAGACGGCUAACUCUGUGCCAGCAGCCGCGGUAAUACAGAGGUCUCAAGCGUUGUUCGGAAUCACUGGGCGUAAAGGGUGCGUAGGUGGCGUGGCAAGUCAGAUGUGAAAGCCCGGGGCUCAACCUCGGAACUGCAUCCGAUACUGCCAUGCUAGAGUACUGGAGGGGUGACUAGAAUUCUCGGUGUAGCAGUGAAAUGCGUAGAUAUCGAAAGGAAUACCAAAGGCGUAGGCAGGUCACUGGACAGUUACUGACACUGAGGCACGAAGGCCAGGGGAGCGAACGGGAUUAGAUACCCUAGUAGUCC